AUUGAACGCUGGCGGCAGGCCUAACACAUGCAAGUCGAACGGUAACAGGAAGAAGCUUGCUUCUUUGCUGACGAGUGGCGGACGGGUGAGUAAUGUCUGGGAAACUGCCUGAUGGAGGGGGAUAACUACUGGAAACGGUAGCUAAUACCGCAUAACGUCGCAAGACCAAAGAGGGGGACCUUCGGGCCUCUUGCCAUCGGAUAUGCCCAGAUGGGAUUAGCUAGUAGGUGGGGUAACGGCUCACCUAGGCGACGAUCCCUAGCUGGUCUGAGAGGAUGACCUGCCACACUGGAACUGAGACACGGUCCAGACUCCUACGGGAGGCAGCAGUGGGGAAUAUUGCACAAUGGGCGCAAGCCUGAUGCAGCCAUGCCGCGUGUAUGAAGAAGGCCUUCGGGUUGUAAAGUACUUUCAGCGGGGAGGAAGGGAGUAAAGUUAAUACCUUUGCUCAUUGACGUUACCCGCAGAAGAAGCACCGGCUAACUCCGUG
rnacentral:rRNA from 1 species